rnacentral:lncRNA from 1 species
CCUCCACUCACUCCUCCUCCGCCUCCAGCGCCACCUCGUAUCUCCUCAUUCCCGACAUGUCCUGGGCUCCGAACGUCUCCUGGGGAGCGGCAUGAUUGAAUCAGGGAUUCCCUAGCCCCAGGUCCCCUUCUCCGUCAUUCUCAGGACGAGGCUGCCCAGUUCUCAGGCAGAAAAAUGUGAAAAGAGAGACUGGCCUAGCCUCCCAGCCUACAUCUUUCUCCCAUCCUGGAUGUUUCCUGCCCUUGAAUGUUGGACUCCAAGUUCUUCAGUUUUGGAACUCGGACUGUCUCUCCUUGCUCCUCAGCCUGCAGACGGCCUAUUGUGGGACCUUGUGAUCGUGUUGUUGUGGUGGUAUUACUACUACUCAGCAAGAUUCUGGUUUUACUUCUCAUCUUGGGAGUUACCAUCAAGACGUUAGGUAUGGCUGUGUGACCCACUUUGGCCAAUGAAAUGUGAACAGAAAUGGCAUAUGUCACUUGUGGACAAAAACAUUUAAGCAAGAAUUUCCCUUGCUGUCUUCCUUGACUGGAGCGACCAUGGAAGCCUGUGUUGAGAUGAAGAGGCUGCCAACAGAUCAAAACACUUGAAAACUUGAGCAGCCACAUGGACUACAACUGUGCUGGAGACUUGCCUGGACCCACAGCAGGCUUGACAUUGCCCAGACUGGUCUCAAAUUCCUGGGCUGAAAUGAUCCUCCUGCUUUGGCCUCCCAAAGUGCAGGGAUUACAGUCAUGAACCACUGAGCCUGGCCCAUCUUGGCACUUUUGAUCGUGGACUUCUAACCUUCAGAACUGUGAG